CGUUGUGAGUGUGUUCGAGUCCCUGGGUUGCUUUCUGGGGGUCUGUGGUGCUGGGUGUGCUAUCUGCGUCUGAUUCUCUAGCGAGAGAUUGUGGGCGAGUUACCGAGUGGGCAAGGGGCUGUCACUGUGUGUGCGUGAUUGUGACGGUGUGUGGUGGUCGCUUCUGACUCCGCGUGGGUCGUUGAAUGUGUGACUGGGACCGUUUAGCGGUGGAUACACAACUGUGUGCGGCUGUGGAAGAUUCCCUCAUCGGUUAAGUUCCCAUUUCCGUGGAAAAACAGUUUUACCAGAAGGUUUCGAAGGAACUUUAAAGUUUGGAAGCGUAAGAGUUUAUCUGGUAACUAAUUUUAAACAUUACAUCUAUGGUGAAUUAAAUGUGGGUUAUGAAGGAGAACGCAAAAUAAAAACGUUAUAAAGACGUAAAGGAGUUUUAUGGGGCGGCAUCUCUUGGCCAAAUAUCAGACCGCCACAGGUAGUUGUUAAUUCUCUCUUGUUUUUAGGCAGCUUUGGUGUCAUCAAGUGUGAAAAGCCCUGGACUUUACACAUCUAGUAUGAUCGGGAGUCUGAGUACCAGAUGCUGGUCAGGACCUGUUAUGCUGGGUCUCAGAAUGCGGAAACCCUCCUUGUCCGAGGUGGAACAGUUUGUCCUUGAGUCAGGCCGGGAGUCCUGAGUGACUCUUUUGAUUUGAUCCUGUUUCCCUCAGACCUGAGAUGGGGGCCUCACUGUAUUGCCCAGGCUGGUCUUGAACUCCUGAGCUCAAGUGAUCGUCUUGCUUCAGCCUUCCAAAAUGAUGGUGAAGCUGCAUCAUUGUCUGGGGUAAAUACCUGAGGUUCGUUGUCUCACGCCAAGGGAAUCAAGGAUGUGGACACACAAGAAAUGGGGUCCCUACCUGACCGGGCCAUGUUGUAUGUUCCGUACUGUACACGUGGUUGACAAAGAAAAGGGAAGAUGGAGCUGUGAUGUUGGACAUGCCUGGCCCCCAGGACAUACAGCCCUCCUGAGCAAAUAAUGAACAUAACUCACAAACUUCCUGUUUAUCAUCAAACGCACGCAUCCACUUUCAUCAAACACCUCGGUUGACAGAAGAAUGCAGGUUAGCUCCCUGCUGCCUUGGCAUUAUCAAUCAGCCCAGGAACCAUCCUAUAAAACGUCCAGCAAGCCUUUGUUUCCUUGCAGUCAGCUCCUCUGCCACUGAUUCUGCCUGUUGCUCCCUGAUAACAUACUUUGAUACUGUCUUAAAUAAAUCUGCCUUUCUUC
rnacentral:lncRNA from 1 species